rnacentral:rRNA from 1 species
GUCGAGAAUUUUUCUCAAUGGGGGAAACCCUGAAGGAGCGACGCCGCGUGGAGGAUGAAGGCUUUCGGGUUGUAAACUCCUGUCAUUUGAGAACAAGUGGCCGAACGUAACUGCUUCGGCCUUGAUAGUAUCAGAAGAGGAAGGGACGGCUAACUCUGUGCCAGCAGCCGCGGUAAUACAGAGGUCUCAAGCGUUGUUCGGAUUCAUUGGGCGUAAAGGGUGCGUAGGUGGCGCCGUAAGUCGGGUGUGAAAUUUCGGAGCUUAACUCCGAAACUGCAUUCGAUACUGCGGUGCUUGAGGACUGGAGAGGAGACUGGAAUUUACGGUGUAGCAGUGAAAUGCGUAGAGAUCGUAAGGAAGACCAGUGGCGAAGGCGGGUCUCUGGACAGUUCCUGACACUGAGGCACGAAGGCCAGGGGAGCAAACGGGAUUAGAAACCCUGGUAGUCC